GAGUUUUUGUUGCUGUGGGUUGAAUUUGGGUGCUUGGCUAGGUGUGUUGGCAGGAGAUGUUUGUACCUGGUCCUGGUGGAAACGUCUUUCUUUGUGUGCAGACCUGGUCCAUCCUAGCAUUGUUCAACUAUGGAUCACCACUAGCUGUGAGGUGAACUGUAAGCAUCUGCUUUGUGAGAGGUGAGCGUGGAAGAGGAGGCCUGCUUGCUUGGAAAUGAGGGAGAAGUAUAUCUUUCUGUGAAGCUCUUCCAUCCCUUUGGGUCAGAGGCAGUGGAGUUGUGCUGGUUCUGGAAGUGGUUGGUCCGAUAAAGCCAGAAUAAUUUUCCUAUGUGAAGAUGAACUCCUGAAAUGGGAACUGAUUUGGAGAAUUUAUCUGACAGAGGCAAUAGGACUUCAGCUUGAGGACCUAGACCAGUCCAAAUGAAGCAGUACGGCAGGGAUGGGACCAGCAUCAUCUGCACCUAGAGUCUUCUACGCUUCACAAAGUUAUGCAUCCUCUUCUGCAUUUCUUCAAGUACAGACAACUGGCAACCUGCAUGUCUCUUUGUGUCCUGCAGAGUAAUUAAAGGACAGCCAGCAUUUUCUUCUGCGUGCCGCCAACCACAUGGUUUCAUUCACUGAAGUAACCGAUGGUGAGAUUAGGCAAAUACUUUGACUUUGCCCCUGGCUUUCGUGGUUGCCGUACCUCUGAAGACGCCAUUCACCUCUAAUUACACGUCUGUUGAAAUCAUGCAGAGAAGGAACAGUGUAAGUCAUUAGCCCUCCUAAAUGAAUGUGCAGCUGAGUAGCUAACAAAGGGAUUAACACUUGACAGCAAAAGCGUUGCAUGCUGAAGGAGAGGGUCAUUGGGUGACUGCCUAUUACACAGAAAUAAUUGCUAUCCAAUGCUGAGAGAAACCGAUGGCUGCAGGCUGUGUUUAAUGCACAGAAAUGCAUUUUUGCUGUCAGUUCUUACCCCCUUUGCAUAAUCCGCCCUUGCACAAAAUGCGGAGGCAGCCUAUUUUGGCCAGGGCAUGGUGGGAACAGGUAAUGUAAGUACAAGGGGAGCUGAAACUCAAGGACAUUUGGUAGGAAUCUUCCCAUUGAACAGAAAGUUUUCACCCCUAAGAAAAAACUAAUACAUUUUAAACAAUGCUGCUUCACUUGUUCCUCCGUUACUGCAGUAUGGCAUCUGUUUUUUUUUGUUUGUUUGUUUUUUAAGAGAGAUAUUCAAUAACAUGAUUACAAAGACAUAGUAAAAAUGUUUGUGUUUGUCCACCACCAGUUUUUUUCUUAUUUAAGAGAAUGCAAUGGUUCAGAGCACUGCCCACACUACUGUGAGCCUUUUGUAGAUUAAGCUAUCCCUGGAAAGAUUCCUCUCUUACUGGUAUUUUACCCUUUGCAGAAUCGAGUUCUUAUUUACGGAGCUUAACAAAUCUGUUCAUUCCAUGGCCACUAAGAAAAACUACCUAUGGAGGACUUCAAAGCAUGGUAACAAUUACUAGAUGCAAUACGGGCUGAGUUAGGGGACUAUGGGCAUCACUGUCAUCAUGGGGCUGUUGAUGAAUUACUCAAAUGUGCUUGCUUAAAACAUGCCACCACAUCAACAUGAUGUGGUAUGGAAUAGCCUGCUUAGUAGCAGCGUGAUCUUAAGAGUUAGGAGAGAUUUUUUGGUUUAGACUUCCUGCUGGAACAAAUACUCAUCACUCUAUUGAAGUCAUUGCAGCUGUUAUGCUUCAGAUGGGCUGAGAUUUGUUCCUUGUCUUCAGGCAGACAAGGAUAAAGCAAUGGCUAAAAUGAUUCAGGGGAAUUCAGCACACAUUUGGCAUUAAAAAAGAAAGGGUCUCUGUGGUGGACUUCCGAGCAGGGAUGCAUUUUUCUUUUGUGCUCUACCUGGUGCUUGUUGCAAUGCAGACCUUGUGACCUGAUGCAGGGAUGAAAUAAAUCCCAGGCAAUAGCCCACAGAAGGAUCCCCAGGUGGGCAAGGUUUGGGGCUGGCUUCUUCUUUUUUUUUUUUUUUUUUCUCUUUCUUUCUUCUAGUGUUGCCUACAAUGCAUGGUGGAAAAACCUUUUGGCCUUUUUAGGAAAAAAGCUGCCAUUUCAGAGCAUGUUAGCUUAGUCGAAGAAAUUUAACUGGACUAUAUAUAGACACACUUUGACAUCUUCAGCCCAAUUUAAAGACAGUGGAUUUUAGUGCAGGCAUUUUAAGCUAUCAGAUGAUAGCUGGAUGAAAAUACCAUAGAGAUACAUAACUAAGGCUGAGGAAAGACACGGGAGCAGCAGGGUGGUGGUGUACAAUGUGAAAAGGAUGUUUACAUCCAAACAUCACACGCACAGUUGAGCAUGAAUUCACAUUGGAUCAACUUGCAUUCAAACAUAUAUUUAUUAGCUAUUGGUGGAAACUACUGUUUUCAGUAGCAUAGUAUGAGUAUUACAAAGGUGAAAUCUGUGACUUCUAAAAAAAAACCUUACCAUGGCUAGUAUUUGCAAAGCCCUGCUGAGGAACAGCUUCUGAGGAGCGGUGAUACCUUGGCUUCUCUAUUAUUAAUCUCUUUUUUGGCAGUCUUUUUUUCUGUAUCUUUAGCGACAUGUCUGUUUUCCCAUGACAUGCCCUGCAGAGAUUUGUAGUGAGUGAAGCUGAAAACAGGAAUCUACAUCUUCCCUACUGACAUUUUAAUAUUUCACUAGGGUGCGCCAGCAGAAGAGCUGAGGUGAGCGCCGAUACCCAAGACCGAUGAGCCCAGGCAGCCACAGCCGCUUUGGUGCUCAUAGCCACUGGCCCAGCCAAACAGCUCAGCAAUACACCACCAAGAGCCCCUGCCACCCACUGCAGGAGGUAUUCAUGCAUGCUCAAGCUACUGAUGAGCAGAGGCUGGAGGGAAUGCCCCAAAAGCAGUGAAUAUGGGAAUAAAAGGAAAUUUAGCCAUGAGCCAACAUGCAUCCCACAGACUAUUUUCCAUUCACUCCAGAAUACUUCUUCCUCUUGUCUGAUUAAGUGACAUCAGGUUAGUAUAUCUGCCUGAUUAUUUAGUUCUCCGCAUCAUUUUGAGCACUGUAAUCUCUUUAAUUGGUGCAAAGAAUUAUUUUUUUUCCAAUGUUAAAACAGCUUCUCUAGAUGGAGUUUUUCAUGGUUGUUUUUGCUAUCAACUUCAGAACUCAUGCAAAAGGACUCUGAUUUUGGUUUUAUUCACUCACAGAAUUACCAUGUUUGCAGACAUAGAAAUUGUAUAUAGGUCUACAUACAAAGGAAAUAUAACGCCCUAGUUAAUUUUCUGCAUCAGUGAAAACGAGCUUUUGUCAAAUGGGGAAGAUGUAAGGGCAGACGUUGCUGAUGUCAAAGAGCACUAUCCCAGAACCAAGCCUCCAGCACUAUUUGGAAACAAAAGGUAAGAAGAGAUAGCAGAUGAGGUGAAAAUGCUGAUUAUAAGUGGUAUUUGGAAGAGAUAAGCAAGUUGGCUUCUCUAAUCUCAAAUUUUAAAAUUUUCUUGCUGUGUUCUCACCCCAUUCUGAGUCUGUCAUAUAUUUUAUUUCUGCAACCAGACCUCAGUCUAUUUUUAUGCUUCAGGCAAUAACAGUCCAGAUGAAAACACUCUUCCUUGUCCUUAUUUGUUAAAACCCUAAAGGUUAUUUCCUGAUGAUAAGAGGGCGGUCUCUUCCUUUUCAAAAGCACAGAUUUUCUUUCAUAUAAACAGUCCUGAGCUGUUUGGUCUGGAGUGUUUUUUAAAGGCAAGCUGGUAAUCAGCCCCGUAGAGAUGCUUGCGUCUUUCAGAGCUGGACCAACAAAUCCAUCACACGGCUGGAAAAGCUCUUGGU